UACGUAGGGUGCGAGCGUUGUCCGGAAUUAUUGGGCGUAAAGAGCUCGUAGGCGGUUUGUCGCGUCUGCUGUGAAAUCCCGAGGCUCAACCUCGGGUCUGCAGUGGGUACGGGCAGACUAGAGUGCGGUAGGGGAGAAUGGAACUCCUGGUGUAGCGGUGGAAUGCGCAGAUAUCAGGAAGAACACCGAUGGCGAAGGCAGGUCUCUGGGCCAUUACUGACACUGAGAAGCGAAAGCAUGGGGAGCGAACAGG
rnacentral:rRNA from 1 species